UGGGGAAUAUUGCACAAUGGACGGAAGUUUGAUGCAGCGACGCCGCGUGGAGGGUGUAGGCCUUCGGGUUGUGAACUCCUUUUUCUCGCGAAAAAGGCACAGUUUUGGCUGUGUUGAUGGUAGUGGGGGAAGAAGCGCCGGCUAACUACGUGCCAGCAGCCGCGGUAAUACGUAGGGCGCGAGCGUUGUCCGGAUUUAUUGGGCGUAAAGAGCUCGUAGGUGGUUCGUCGCGUCUGUCGUGAAAGCCAGCAGCUUAACUGUUGGUCCGCGGUGGGUACGGGCGGGCUUGAGUGCUGUAGGGGUGACUGGAAUUCCUGGUGUAGCGGUGGAAUGCGCAGAUAUCAGGAGGAACACCGAUGGCGAAGGCAGGUCACUGGGCCGUUACUGACACUGAGGAGCGAAAGCGUGGGGAGCGAACAGG
rnacentral:rRNA from 1 species